rnacentral:rRNA from 1 species
GACGAACGCUGGUGGCGUGCCUAAUACAUGCAAGUAGGACGAGUUGCGAACGCGUGAGUAACGCGUGGUAACCUACCUACUAGAGGGGGAUAACUACUGGAAACGGUAGCUAAUACCGCAUACUAUCAGAUGUGCCCAGAUGGGAUUAGCUAGUAGGUGGGGUAAUGGCUCACCUAGGCGACGAUCCCUAGCUGGUCUGAGAGGGUGACCAGCCACACUGGGACUGAGACAUGGUCCAGACUCCUACGGGAGGCAGCAGUGGGGAAUAUUGCACAAUGGGCGCAAGCCUGAUGGAGCCAUGCCGCGUGUGUGAAGAAGGCCUUCGGGUUGUAAAGCACUUUUAGCGAGGAGGCGUUACUCGCAGAGAAAGCACCGGCUAACUCCGUGCCAGCAGCCGCGGUAAUAC